rnacentral:rRNA from 1 species
AUUGAACGCUGGCGGCAGGCCUAACACAUGCAAGUCGAGCGGAGCGGCGGACGGGUGAGUAAUGACUAGGAAGCUGCCUGGUAGUUGGGGGUAACGUCCGGAAAGGGGCGGUAAUACCGCAUACUAUCAGAUGAGCCAAGGUAGGAGUAGCUAGGUGGGGGGGAAAAGGCCUACCAAGGCGACGAUCCGUAACUGGUCUGAGAGGAGGAACAGUCACACUGGAACUGAGACACGGCCCAGACUCCUACGGGAGGCAGCAGUGGGGAAUAUUGUACAAUGGGCGAAAGCCUGAUCCAGCCAUGCCGCGUGUGUGAAGAAGGUCUUAGGAUUGUAAAGUACUUUAAGUUGGGAGGCGUUACCCACAGAAUAAGCACCGGCUAACUUCGUGCCAGCAGCCGCGGUAAUAC